rnacentral:misc_RNA from 1 species
AACGCAUAUUGCACUUUUCAGGUCUCCUGGGAAGUAUACUUGUUUGAGUAUCAUAAACAUCUCUCAAAACCUUGGUUUUGGAAUUGAGACUUUAAGCUACUACUAGCUUAUGUCUUUUAAUGGAUAUGCGGCGCGAUUUUAGCCUAAACAGCUAAAAGUCCAACUACCAAAUGUGAGAUAAAUAUCGCACAGAGAGGCGUUGGGUUAAGCGAUGCUACGCUCAGCAAUCUUUGCAACCUUGAGUCAUUGAUCUCAAAUCAAGUAAGAUUACCCGCUGAACUUAA